AGCAGCCGCGGUAAUUCCAGCUCCAAUAGCGUAUAUUAAAGUUGUUGCAGUUAAAAAGCUCGUAGUUGAAUUUCGGGGUCAAUAAGUUGGUCAUGCCAAUGGUAUGCACUGGCUUUAUUGAUUCCUACCUCUUGACGAACUGUGAUGCCAUUAAUUUGGUGUUGCAAGGAAUCAGGACUGUUACCUUGAAAAAAUUAGAGUGUUUAAAGCAAGCUUACGCUUGAAUACAUUAGCAUGGAAUAAUGAAAUAGGACGUUUGAUCCUAUUUUGUUGGUUUCUAGGAUCGACGUAAUGAUUAAUAGGGAUAGUUGGGGGCAUUAGUAUUCAAUUGUCAGAGGUGAAAUUCUUGGAUUUAUUGAAGACUAACUACUGCGAAAGCAUUUGCCAAGGAUGUUUUCAUUAAUCAAGAACGAAAGUUAGGGGAUCGAAGACGAUCAGAUACCGUCGUAGUCUUAACCAUAAACUAUGCCGACUAGGGAUCGGAUGAUGUAAUUUUUAAUGA
rnacentral:rRNA from 1 species